rnacentral:rRNA from 1 species
AACGAACGCUGGCGGCGUGGAUUAGGCAUGCAAGUCGAACGGUUCCUUUAGCUUUUCGAAGGGAUAGUGGCGAAAGGGUGAGUAACACGUGGGUUACCUACCCUAGGGAUCGGGAUAACCUGUCGAAAGACGGGCUAAUACCGGAUACGUCCCAUGCUUUGCGAAGUAUGGGGGAAAGAUGGGGGACCCUUCGGGGCCUGUCGCCCUUGGAUGGGCUCGCGGCCUAUCAGCUAGUUGGUGAGGUAACGGCUCACCAAGGCUAAGACGGGUAGCUGGUCUGAGAGGAUGGUCAGCCACACUGGGACUGAGACACUGCCCAGACUCCUACGGGAGGCAG